rnacentral:rRNA from 1 species
CCUACGGGAGGCAGCAGUGGGGAAUUUUGGACAAUGGGCGCAAGCCUGAUCCAGCAAUGCCGCGUGCAGGAUGAAGGCCUUCGGGUUGUAAACUGCUUUUGUACGGAACGAAACGGCCCUUUCUAAUACAAGGGGCUAAUGACGGUACCGUAAGAAUAAGCACCGGCUAACUACGUGCCAGCAGCCGCGGUAAUACGUAGGGUGCGAGCGUUAAUCGGAAUUACUGGGCGUAAAGCGUGCGCAGGCGGUUAUAUAAGACAGAUGUGAAAUCCCCGGGCUCAACCUGGGACCUGCAUUUGUGACUGUAUAGCUAGAGUACGGUAGAGGGGGAUGGAAUUCCGCGUGUAGCAGUGAAAUGCGUAGAUAUGCGGAGGAACACCGAUGGCGAAGGCAAUCCCCUGGACCUGUACUGACGCUCAUGCACGAAAGCGUGGGGAGCAAACAGGAUUAGAUACCCUGGUAGUCCACGCCCUAAACGAUGUCAACUGGUUGUUGGGUCUUCACUGACUCAGUAACGAAGCUAACGCGUGAAGUUGACCGCCUGGGGAGUACGGCCGCAAGGUUGAAACUCAAAUGAAUUGACGGCUGAGACGUGCCGACGGACGACGACGAGGGAGGAGG